rnacentral:rRNA from 1 species
GACGAACGCUGGCGGCGUGCUUAACACAUGCAAGUCGAACGGAAAGGCCCUGCUUUUGUGGGGUGCUCGAGUGGCGAACGGGUGAGUAACACGUGAGUAACCUGCCCUUGACUUUGGGAUUACUUCAGGAAACUGGGGCUAAUACCGGAUAGGAGCUCCUGCUGCAUGGUGGGGGUUGGAAAGUUUCGGCGGUUGGGGAUGGACUCGCGGCUUAUCAGCUUGUUGGUGGGGUAGUGGCUUACCAAGGCUUUGACGGGUAGCCGGCCUGAGAGGGUGACCGGCCACAUUGGGACUGAGAUACGGCCCAGACUCCUACGGGAGGCAGCAGUGGGGAAUAUUGCACAAUGGGCGGAAGCCUGAUGCAGCAACGCCGCGUGCGGGGUGACGGCCUUCGGGUUGUAAACCGCUUUCGCCUGUGACGAAGCGUGAGUGACGGUAAUGGGUAAAGAAGCACCGGCUAACUACGUG